GACGAACGCUGGCGGCGUGCUUAACACAUGCAAGUCGAACGGAAAGGCGCUGAGUUUGUGGGGUGCUCGAGUGGCGAACGGGUGAGUAACACGUGAGUAAACUGCCCUUGACUUUGGGAUAACUUCAGGAAACUGGGGCUAAUACCGGAUAGGAGCUCCUGAUGCAUGGGGGGGGUUGGAAAGUUUCGGCGGUUGGGGAUGGACUCGCGGCUUAUCAGCUGGUUGGGGGGGUAGUGGCUUACCAAGGCUUUGACGGGUAGGCGGCCUGAGAGGGUGACCGGCCACAUUGGGCCUGAGAUACGGCCCAGACUCCUACGGGAGGCAGCAGUGGGGAAUAUUGCACAAUGGGCGGAAGCCUGAUGCAGCAACGCCGCGUGCGGGAUGACGUGCUUCGGGUUGUAAACCGCUUUCGCCUGUGCCGAAGUGUGCGUGACGGUAAUGGGUCAAGAAGCACCGGCUAACUACGUG
rnacentral:rRNA from 1 species